rnacentral:misc_RNA from 1 species
ACCGUUGGAGCCUGUCGCGCAAAAAAUAUGAAUAUUAAGAAAAUGAAAACACUGGCCUGGCCCCUCAGACGGCAAGCUGUCUCAUUUCCUACCGUUUAAUGAUUUUUACAAUUACAAUGUUCCCGUUUAGUGAGGCAAUUCCUAGACGGUCGAUGAUGAGACUGCAUAUAAAGGCGAAUAAUAUAAACAUAUUUUACGUACAGUCUGUUAGGUCAGCCAACAUCACACACCCGUCUAGAGAGGAAACAUUGCAUAAUUCAAUUCAUUGCUUACAUAUUUCUAAGUGUGCACAAGUCGCAUGCCUGAGUGUACUGAAUAAUAUGACCUUGAACUUCAGUCUCAUGGCGGUGCUCCCCCCGGCGUCCUCGACGUUAACUCUGGCAUGUACGAUUUCAACACCAACGUCAUGGUGGUGUUCUUUGCUGAACAGAUUAAAAUUUGCAUAGAUGCUUUGCUUUUGUCCAUAUUUUUCUCCUUUCCUACACGAAAUUAGUUCCCCAGCUCAGAGCGAUGUUAAAGGCAUUGUCAAAUGCUUUCGUUGAUGAUCUUAUCGAAAAUGAUGAAAUAUUAGCUAAAAACAUAUCGAACUCAGGACUAGUGCAAAAAAUCAUACCCCAUAUGAGACCAAAAUGGCCAAAAUCGAUACCCUAUUUCUGACCAAAACGGCCGCACGUCCUAUAUAGCCCAUAUAAGGGAGUAGCCCCCUUCACCCGGGAGGGGAUUGGGCGAUAUUAACGGUAUCUAUAGGAACGAAGUAAGAUCAUUAAAAGUGCAACGGCAUUUUUGCGUCUACAUGCAUCAAGUCACGAUUUUUUACCUGUCAGUCAAUAAAACCCUUAUAAAAACCGUUGCAAACCUUGCCACUCAAACACAAAAUGUAUUUCUCAGUCACAAGAGGGGCUUGUAGGUACGUUUGGGAACUAUUAAUUCAGUGGUAUAAUCUUACAUUGUGGAUCAAAGUUGUCUUACCCGUUAGGAAAAGGAAAAAGCUUUGAUACAACAGCAACUGCAAUUGCUAAAACAACUGCCACUGACUAAACAUCUACAACACACACUGGCUGUACAACAUCAGGGCCUAAAUAAAGACAUUUCAGUGAUGCGAGCUGUGGAGAGACAAUUUACCAAUACUUUGUAAAUGUAGAAAAGCCAUCAGUGCGCAGUUUGUGAAAGCCCACUAACCAUGGUAACCGAGAAUAGAGUAACUGACUUGCCUAUGGUAUAAUAGCCUAGAACAACAAUGAGUUUAUUGGCAGCCAAUAGCGGUUAAGAGACUACCAUAGAUACUGAUGUUUUGUAAACUACUCUCCUGUUACGCCCCGGGUUGUGGGACACAAGAUACAGUAGUAGCAGACACCGCGUGUAAGAAGCUAGUGGUUUGAGAACCUACCGGCAGAAAUUUGCCAUUUUAAAACCAAAAAAUAGAAGAACCCGUUCAGCCAAGCUAGAUCAAGCAGGUUCUUAUAUACGGGUUACAGUUCAAUCAUGAUAAACCUUUUAACCAAGGAGUGUGACUUUGAGAUUGCAAAUUUAUAUUACAAGAAAAUACAAAAUACAGUAGAGAAUAAAUACUAUAUAUUUAAGGAUUAGGCCCAAGUUUAUUCACUUUGUUUGUUUGUUUGUUUGUUUUUUUGUAGUCAACAACUAUACCUCCUUCAUAGAAAUUAAGGACAUUGUUAAGAAUAUACUUACAGAACCUAUUUGGCCAGACUUAGAACAAUAAGGGCUCUUACUCACGGGUUUUUGCUGUGCCACUAUCCAUUCUUGGGUUACGUUCUGGUGACGUUUUGGUUGUGCUCUUUGAUUAAACUCUUCUGUUGUAUCAAGUUUUGUCUGUCCUCUCGGUCUCCGAAGACUGUUUAGUGUGCUGUAACAGAUCUAGCUAGAUCUCUGCCUUCCCACAGCUAGCAAGUUGUCCCGUUCAGAAACGUGUUUUCUCGGGCCAAAAACCCAUUAUUUCAGAACUCCCUGGACAAUUAACAUUAUUGGUAAAAUUUGAAAACGACAAGAAGCGAAGAAAAAGAAAAAAUGAGAAUAAAAAUGCCUGAAAUUGCGAAAUAAUAAAAGUGCAAGUAAUUAUGAACGUUUGUUAAAAAGAAUGUUAAAUCUUAUAACAUGUUUUAUUCUGGCUUAAGCCCUUCAAUAUUUUUAAUAUUUUCAAUAUUUUCAGCUUUCUUUCAUGUUGAGACCACCAGGUAGUAAAAGAUUAUUCUCUGCCUGCCUAAGGCCCGGAAUCAGCCAGUUUUUGUCACUAUUACUCCGGCAUAAGUCUUGAUCAUUUUGCCUUACUAUUAUGCUCAAACUAACGCCGGCAUAAUUUGUAAAACCCUAGAUACAACUUAAGCGACAGUGGCAGAGUUGGUGUUUGCGGUUUUAGCUACAGAUCUAGAAGACAGAUGAUAAUAACUUCAACAACAAUUUUUUUUUUCUAAAUGCUUACAUUUUGGAGGGUAUCCUCACUGAUCUAAGAGAUCUGUGCACUCUGUGAUCAGUGGACUACGCCCUAAGAGGAACCGAUAUGUAUUAACUUACCUGAACCAUCAAAUUAUGGCCUGAACUCUUUUAGUUCUUUAGAUGUUAUGUCCUUGAGAUCCGUCGCCGAAAGAGCUGUCCUUCAUGAAACAAUUUCACCAAAGCAGACGCUGACUAUGUAAUUUUAACUAAGCCGUAUUUUU